CGGAGUUACUAUUCACUUAAGUGAUCAGUAAAGUUAGCGUAUCUUCUCCAUCCUAACUCGUUUUCUCCUAAAACUUGACGAGUACAUAUGUAAUUAAAUUACACACAACAACAUCGUCAACAAGGAGUUUAGCUAAACAGUCAAAUUCUCAGUUCUUACAAAAUCACCUAUAAUCUUAACAACCUGAAAAUCCUAAUAAUUUAUCCAUACAAUUUCAUAUAAUCUUAACAGCCUGAAAAUCCUAAUAGUCUAUCCAUAUAAUUUUAUAUAAUCUUAACAGUCUAAAAAUCCUAAUAGUCUAUCCAUAUACUUUUAUAUAAUCUUAACAGUCUAAAAAUCCUAAUAGUCUAUCCUACAAUUUCAUAUAAUCUUAACUGUCUGAAAAUCCUAAUAAUCUAUUCAUACAAUCCUAACAAUCAAAAAAAAUCCUAAUAAUCUAUCCAUACAAUCCUAACAAUCAAAUAAAAAUUCUAAUAAUCCAUAUAUAAUCCUAACAACUUCACUUUUUUCUAUUUCCUAUAUAAUCCACGCACAAUUUUAGUGAAUAUGGCGAACGAUUCACUCCCUUUAAAAAAAAAAAAGGAAGAAAGCGAUGAACAUUUCACCGUCUUUAAAAGAAAUUGGAGAAUGCGGGGAAUGAUUCACCGCCUUUAAAAGACAUAGGCGAACACGGUGAACGAUUCGUCACUUUUCGAAAAUAACCUCACGUGACUUUUACGUGGCGAAAAGAGGGUUAGUUUGCCAAAUAUAAAUUUGACAAGGUUAUUUUGUAAAUUAUAAAAUUUUGGAGGAUUAUUUUAUAAAAAAAUUCGAUGGUGAAAGGGUAUAUUGAAAGGGCAAAAUAGUAAUUUCAUACAGAUAAUAGUUAUUGCUAACAGUUCAUUAACGGAAUUUAACUCUAUGGGUAUAUUUGAAAUAGUUUGAAUGUAAAAAGGGUAUUUUCAAUAUAAUAUUAGCCUUCUAACAGAGUAAAUCAGAAAGUCUGAAACUUUUCAAUUGUAUAUAUGCAAUUGCCCCUUUUUAUUUUAAUGUAAAAGAUGA
rnacentral:lncRNA from 1 species